UACGUAGGGUGCAAGCGUUGUCCGGAAUUAUUGGGCGUAAAGAGCUCGUAGGCGGUCUGUCGCGUCGGCUGUGAAAACCUGGGGCUUAACUCCGGGCCUGCAGCCGAUACGGGCAGACUAGAGUUCGGCAGGGGAGACUAGAAUUCCUGGUGUAGCGGUGAAAUGCGCAGAUAUCAGGAGGAACACCGGUGGCGAAGGCGGGUCUCUGGGCCGAAACUGACGCUGAGGAGCGAAAGCGUGGGGAGCAAACAGG
rnacentral:rRNA from 1 species